rnacentral:lncRNA from 1 species
AGGACCCCUGUCAUGUCUCACCAUCAGGAAAGCGGGACGGAAGGUUCCAGUUUAUUUGUUUUUGGAAAUAGCAGUUGUGUCAAAAACUAAGAAGAAAAGUGCUUUCGAAGGAAAGGUGUCUUCCCAAAAACUUCAGGGAGUUCAAGAAUGUAAGGGUGAAUCUUUUCCAAGGGUUAAACUAAGCCUCUCCAUUUAAAAUUCCGGGAUCAGGACACCUAAUGAGAGGUCAUGUGAGCAGGAGUCCAUAGACCCAUGUGCAGAAAUCUCAAAUCAAUGGAUUUGAAGCAUAUGCCCAGUAAACUCCGCAAACUCUUGGACUCAAUGUGCCCAGCUAGAAUCCGAACUGGAGGGCUUUCGCUGCCACGAUGCCAUUAUCAACAUCCCGGUCUCCACCCAAUGCACAGACGUCAUUACACACACACAGCAAUGAAGAGGGUGCUUUACUCUCCUUUAUCAGGACUGACAAGGCUUCCAGAAGAGGAGGAGCUGCUCUAUCCCUUUCAGCUUGAAGGACACAUCCAGGCACCUCAAGGGCAAAGCGGCUUAAUCAAGCCCAACCCGCCAGAUACCGCCCACUUCUCACCCACCCACACUGGCUGUGGAUGUCUUCUCCAGCCCCCCCACACCCACGGAAUGCCACACACCUCGUGCCCUCUGGGGUCCUCCUGCCCACCCCACAGCUAA